UCAUUGAUUGAAACCGAGUAGUAUAAUAAAGCUUAGAGUGUUGUUGGUGCCUUAGGUUGAUGCACUUGGAUUCAAGUCUAAGAUGUAGUUAAGGCAGAAGUUAAAAUUGCCUAAGUAACUUGUAUUGAAUCUGUUUAGAUCUUGCAUAUACUUAGAGAAAUUGCUUGCAAAGAUUAGAACUUGAAUAUGUCUUGUGUAAUCUGUUGCAAUGCUUGUGAUAUUGGUGAUCAACCUUGAUGAUAUUUCAAGGAUUGAUUCCAAUACCUUUGUGUCUUAUCUUUGCUGGAGUUUGAGUGGUGUUUCAGGUUCACA
rnacentral:lncRNA from 1 species